rnacentral:rRNA from 1 species
UCGGGGCAUAGUGCUCGCCUGGCUCAAAAAUUUUACACUCUUUCAAACACCUGUGCACUUUAUAAAUCUGUUCGCGAGGACAGUGUUUAUCCUUCACACAAACACCUUUUCAUUGAAUGUAUUUGUAAAAACAAAAAAAAACAACUUUCAACAACGGAUCUCUUGGCUCUCGCAUCGAUGAAGAACGCAGCGAAAUGCGAUAAGUAAUGUGAAUUGCAGAAUUCAGUGAAUCAUCGAAUCUUUGAACGCACCUUGCGCUCCUUGGUAUUCCGAGGAGCAUGCCCGUUUGAGUGUCGUGAAACCAUCAAACCCUCCAAGGUUUUUCUAACCUUGAGAGAGGCUUGGAAUUGAGGGUCCUUGCCGGGUUCGUCAAGAGUCGGGCUCCCUCGAAAGUCAUUGGCUUGUGAUACCUCCGAUGCUGAAUGGCGUGAUAGGCAAUAUCUACGUCUGGAGCUGGAAGGGGCACGAACGAGCCUUCUCUUCAAGUCCUUCGAGACUUCUUUCUCUUUUGACCUCAAAUCGGGUAGGACUACCCGCUGAACUUAAGCAUAUCAAUAAGCGGAGGAAAAGAAACUAACAAGGAUUCCCCUAGUAACUGCGAGUGAAGCGGGAAGAGCUCAAAUUUAAAAUCUGGUGGCUUCGUCACCCGAGUUGUAAUCUGGAGAAGCGUCUUCCGCGC